rnacentral:rRNA from 1 species
UACGUAUGGGGCGAGCGUUAUUCGGAUUCAUUGGGCGUAAAGCGUAUGUAGGUGGUUUGCCAAGUUGACUGUGAAAUUUCCGGGCUUAACCCGGAACCUGCAGUCAAAACUAGCAGACUUGAGUUCAGAAGAGGAUAAUGGAAUUCCAGGUGUAGGGGUGAAAUCUGUAGAUAUCUGGAAGAACACCAGUGGCGAAGGCGAUUAUCUGGUCUGAUACUGACACUUAGAUACGAAAGCUAGGGGAG